AUGGGCGAAAGCCUGAUGGAGCGACGCCGCGUGCAGGAUGAAGGUCUUCGGAGUGGUAAACUUGCUUUUAUAAGUGAAGAAUAUGACGGUACCUUAUGAAUAAGCACCGGCUAACUACGUGCCAGCAGCCGCGGUAAUCGCAUAGCAGGCACGGAAC
rnacentral:rRNA from 1 species